rnacentral:tRNA from 1 species
GCGGGAGUAGCUCAGUGGUAGAGCGUCACGUUGCCAACGUGGAUGUCGUGGGUUCAAAUCCCAUCACCCGCUCCA